rnacentral:lncRNA from 1 species
CCUAUCUCCCAACCAACUCCAAGCUUCAUCCCGUUGUGAUCUUCUCUUCUCCCGUUCGGAUCAAGCAACCAAUAUUCCCCUGUUUCCCAUUUGUAAUAACACUCAUCCCGACUAUCUGUUCUCUGUUGAUCCUCCCAACUUCUCUUCCCUGAUUUCUUCACCCGUUCAAAUCAAGCCGAGUCCCAAGCAUCGAUCAACUUCUUCCG